rnacentral:tRNA from 1 species
GGAUGGGUGCCUGAGUGGUUGAAAGGACCGGUCUUGAAAACCGGCGUGCGUGUAAGCGUACCGUGGGUUCGAAUCCCACCCCAUCCGCCA